rnacentral:lncRNA from 13 species
GUGCUUGAUAUUUUCCCAAAAACACGAUUAUAUACGAAGGUAGUGGGAGGACAAAUGCCACGCAGUUCGUGUGAACUUGUCUGUUGUGUGAAGAUAGCCCAUCAUUUACAAGGUGCUUCCCAAAAUGAAACACUCGCAGUCUCAGAUAAAGCUCUAACUAAAGCUCUAACUUAUGCACAAGCAGUGAUAACAAUUUAAUAUAAAACAGAGGAAGCUGACAAUGGAUAGCCUAGUUUUUAAAGUAUGAGAGGAGGAAUACAGAGGUUUUCUAUGUCACUGCAAAUAUGGACUCUGUAGCCUACAGCUAUUGCUACCGGGGAAUAUUCCCAUGUUCCUUUUUUCUUAACCUUUGAAAUAAAUACAAUAGGAUUGCUGUGCCCACCCAGAUGCGGAAUCUGAAACCUUCAUUGAAGACAGCUUAACUUUUCUCCUAUUUGCCUUCCAAAUAAUGUCCAGUCCGUCAGAAUAACCCGAUGUCUAAUAAUACAAUCAUGUCUUAAGUGAGAGGGUGCAUGGGUGAAGAACAAUCGUCCGGCGUGUUCCUCUGUUCGGGUGAAGUUGGUCUCGCAAUGGUAUUUUGUUUUGAACAGUUGCUGUUAGUUGAGAGUGCAAGUUCCCUCAUAAGGACUAUCUGCACGUGGACUUGUGGUUUUGCGAGAGAGAAAAACAUUUCCGAACUGGAUCGGGACAUAAAGAUAUCGACUCCCUGACGCAUAUGGUGCCAGUCACUUUCAUGAGUUCAGAAUCAACUAACCAGUGAUCGCUGGGUGCUGGGGGUUUAGUCUUUCUCUUUGUGUAAGUACCCUUUUUCCUCCAUUUUGAUUUCUUUCUAAAGGCUAUCCAGUUAGAUUUCUCUUUCACCCCUGGAGGCCUCCAUCCACACUGAACACCUGCAUUGAAUGAAAUGCACAAAUAAAUACUAAUAUAAUGGAUGCUACAGAAUAAGCUUAUAUUGUUACUCCACAUGGUCACUUUUACAAUUUAGACUCUACAUGACCAAAAGUAUGUGGAUACCUGCUCGUCAAACAUCUCAUUCCAAAAUCAUGGGCAUUAAUAUGGAGUUGGUAACCCUUUGCUGCUAUAACAACCUGCUAUAACAGCCUCCACUCUUCUGGGAAAACUUUCCACUAGAUGUUGGAACAUUGCUGCGGGGAUUUGCUGUAGCAUUAAGAUUUCCCUUCACUGGAACUAAGGGGCAUAGCUCAAAUCAUGAAAGACAGUCCCAGACCGUUAUUCCUCAUCCACCAAACUUUACAGUUGGCACUAUGCAAUGGGGCAGGUAGCAUUCUCCUGGCAUCCGCCAAACCCAGAUUUGUCCGUCGGAGUGCCAGAUGGUAAAGCAUGAUUCAUCACUCCAGAGAACGCGU